UUGAAUCCUGGACGACCAUCGUUGUUUUGUUGCUGUUAGACUAACAAAGCACAUACAUACUAAAUGUUUGAAAUAAAUAGAAUGUGUUAACGCAAGUGAAGAAAGUUCUCUAAGCGCUAUUCACUUGGAAGUGGCCAGAAACGAUUAUUUUAUGGCUCAAGCAGCUUACGACUUCCGAUCAAGUAUCCUCUGGGUACCAUUUGAAGGUAAGCUAAAGUAAACAAACGAAUCAACCCUCCUCAGGUUUGUGCGCUGGGUUUGGGACCCGCCACGUAAAACAGCACCCCAAUGAAAAGGACACAGCAGCCUCUAGUGAAAGACCACCUUUUGAUGACAACCGCUACCCAGCUGGUUAAUGUCCUCGUAAAAAUAAAUGCUGACAUCACCGUCGUGCAAGAAGUGCGAUAAACAAGACAAGGACUACGAUAAGUAGUUCCUUGUGACAUUUACUACAGUGGCCAUAUAAAAGAGCACGAAUUCGAUAUGGGAUUCGUGGGGGAAAAGAUACUUUGUCGCCAAGUUCUGGCAUUCACCCCGGUGGAGGAACGUCUAGCCACAAUUCGCAUCAAAGCGAAGUCAGCUUCUUUGUAGAAUAUGGUGAGACGAAAGCAUGCCGACCCCAAAAUAUGCGCCAAAUACCUCCUCAACACCGCAUAUAAGGUUCUAUCGAACAUGAAAGAUUAAGGCCCACCUCAGUGUGGCUUCAGGUCUGAAAAUCAACAACUGAGCAGGUACUCACCAUGCGCAAAAUCUUGGAAAAGAGGAUUCACAUACACCAACUCUUCGUCGAUUUUAAAGCUGCGUGUGACAGCACGAAAAGCCUUUAUGCCACUGGGUUUAAGUUUGGUAUCCCCGCAAAACUAAUACGGUUAUGUAAACGGACGUUGAACAAUACCAAAACCUCCGUCAGGAUCGGGAGGGACCUCUCCGAGAUAUUGCUGGAGAAAAUAAUUUGAACUCCAGAGCUAAACAGAGAAGGCAAAUUCUUCUACAAUUGCGUACAAAUGCGGGUAUGCGCCGGUGAAAUAGAUACCAUUGACCACAACAACCGCGUUCUGUUUUCUCAAUCAGUCAUAACUUCGAAGUAGUAGAUAAUUUCGUCUACCUUAGAGCCAGCAUUAACACCAACAACAACGUCAGCUUCGAAAUCCCACGCAGAAUAACUUUUUCCAAGGUUGUACUUUGGACUGAGUACGCAAUUGGAAAGUAAACUCCUCACUCGACAAACGAAGAUCAAAUUCUACAAGCCACUCAUUAUUCCCGUUCUGCUAUAUGGUGCAGAGGCAUGGACGAUGACAACAUCCUAUGAGUUGGAGUUACGAGUUUUCAAGAGCACUCUCACCACAGUGCAAAAUCACCUUUACCCACUUGUGACUAGUUUACGAUGAUUGAUUAGACCAUAAGCAGCAUAACCGUAUGAGGAAACACAUAAAAUUAUAAAUUAGCAACUUAAGCAGUUCAAUCAACGCAAACAAAUUCAUUAUUACUUCUUUAUCUAUAUACAUAUGUAUGUACGUAUACAUAAAGCAAUACUGAUAAAAAAUAAUAAAAAGUUAGGUUAAAUUCUGGCACCAUUUUUAAGACUGAUUUAAAGAUAAGAAUAUUUAUUGAAAAUAAAACAACAAAAAUUAAAGAACUAAAAAUAUUUUUUUUUU